UAGGGAAUAUUAGAAAUGGACGAAAGUCUGAUCUAGCAACACCGCGUGUGCGAAGAAGGCCUUUGGGCCGUAAAGCACUUUUUGGAAGGAAUAGGAAGGAAUGUACUUCCAGAAUAAGUCUCGGCUAACUACGUGCCAGCAGCCGCGGUAACACGUAGGAGGCAAACGUUAUCCGGAUUUACUGGGCGUAAAGCGCGUGUAGGUGGUACUGUAGUAGGGCGUGAAAGCUCCUGGCUCAACUGGGAGAGGCCGUUCUAAACUACAGAACUAGAGGAUGGUAGAGGGAGGUGGAAUUCCAGGUGUAGCGGUGGAAUGCGCAGAUAUCUGGAGGAACACCGGUGGCGAAGGCGGCCUCCUGGACCAUUCCUGACACUCAGACGCGAAAGCUAGGGUAGCAAACGG
rnacentral:rRNA from 1 species